rnacentral:tRNA from 1 species
UGUGGCUCAGUGGUACGGCACGUGCCUGGCAUGCAUGAGGCCCUGGGUUCCAUCCCCAGCA